rnacentral:rRNA from 1 species
UACGUAGGUGGCAAGCGUUGUCCGGAAUUACUGGGCGUAAAGAGCGCGCAGGCGGUCGUUCAAGUCGCGUGUGAAAGCCCCCGGCUCAACUGGGGAGGGUCACGCGAUACUGAUCGACUCGAAGGCAGGAGAGGGAAGUGGAAUUCCCGGUGUAGUGGUGAAAUGCGUAGAUAUCGGGAGGAACACCAGUGGCGAAGGCGACUUCCUGGCCUGUUCUUGACGCUGAGGCGCGAAAGCUAGGGGAGCAAACGGG